CCUACGUGAGGUAGCAGUGGGGAAUAUUGCGCAAUGGGCGAAAGCCUGACGCAGCGACGCCGCGUGAGGGAUGAAGGUCUUCGGAUCGUAAACCUCUGUCAGCAGGGAAGAACGGUCACUGUGCUAAUCAGCAGUGAAUUGACGGUACCUGCAAAGGAAGCACCGGCUAACUCCGUGCCAGCAGCCGCGGUAAUACGGAGGGUGCGAGCGUUAAUCGGAAUUACUGGGCGUAAAGCGCUCGUAGGCGGUAUGUCAAGUCAAGGGUGAAAUCCCCGCGCUAAACGUGGGAACUGCCUUUGAAACUGGAAAACUGGAGGGUGUGAGAGGAUAGUGGAAUUCCAGGUGUAGGAGUGAAAUCCGUAGAUAUCUGGAGGAACAUCAGUGGCGAAGGCGACUAUCUGGCACAUAACUGACGCUGAGGAGCGAAAGCGUGGGUAGCAAACAGGAUUAGAUACCCGAGUAGUC
rnacentral:rRNA from 1 species